GAAGGUGCUGGAGCACUGGCGACGGCUUCCCCAUCAGCGCUCUCUGCUCAGACUGGCCUGCAGCCUGCAGCAGCUCUUCUCCAGGAGGACACUAGAAGUGGCGUUUGGGAGGUGGCGUGCAGCGAGAGCUCAGGUGGAGGCGAGGCUCGGCCAGGAGGAGCGAUUGCGCCUCCUACAGGACAGGAGGAGACUGCGGGCGGCUCUGAGGAGGUGGAGGAGGGGGCUCAGAGUCAGGAGGGGAGUGAGAGACAUGCAGCAGAGGAGCCAGGAGACACAGCUAUCCAAGUUGGUCCCAUACACACACACACACACACACACACACACACACACAACACACACACACACACACACUCACACAUACACACACACACACUCUGAGGAGGUGGAGGAGGGCAGUGUGUGUCAGGAGGGGAGUGAGGGACCUGCAGCAGAGGAGCCAGGAGACACAGCUAUCCAAGUUGGUCCCAUACACACACACACACACACAAACACACACACACACACACUCACACAUACACACACACACACUCUGAGGAGGUGGAGGAGGGCAGUGUGUGUCAGGAGGGGAGUGAGGGACCUGCAGCAGAGGAGCCAGGAGACACAGCUAUCCAAGUUGGUCCCAUACACACACACACACACACACACACACACAAACACACACACACACACUCACACAUACACACACACACACUCUGAGGAGGUGGAGGAGGGCAGUGUGUGUCAGGAGGGGAGUGAGGGACCUGCAGCAGAGGAGCCAGGAGACACAGCUAUCCAACUGUCUGAAGGCCUGGAGGGGGUUAGUGCAGAGGGGAGCUACGCUGUCUUUCCUCUGGGACCUACGGGAAGAGCAGAGGAUCAAACAGAGCUUUCAGCACUGGAGGAAUGCCAUGGAGCUUCGGACUCAACACAAACACCUGCUUCUGUCCCUCCUGUGCUCUAGACAGCACAGCUUCCUCCAAACCCAUGAACACACACCCCAGUCAACCAGGCAACACACACCAACGGAAAGAGAUAAUGAUAGCUGCAGUGUGAUGGAGACACAGAGGAGUCUGGAUGAGUUGUGUCACAAUCUCCUCCUGCAGAAGGCUCUGCACACCUGGAGGGAGAACACACUCAACAUGCACAAGGCCAGUCUGUUCUGUGUGGCCCAGGGGAGGGAGCGUGCCUGCGUGGUGCUGAGGCGUUGGCACCAGCUGGCACAGGAGGAGCAGAGCAGCGGGGUGCUGAGGUUCACUGCCAGACUGGCACAGCUGGCGCAGGGCACACACACCUCCUUGGCAUUCAGCACCCAUGGUCCUCUCUCUGCAUCAGAGAUCACGGCUGGGAGUGGAGGAAUCUGCCGCCUCGCUGACCAUCGCAGUGCUGAGCUGAGUGACUGGUCCUUCAGCCUGAGCCACAGAGAGACACACUGCCCCCUGCUGACCUCCUCGCCACACUGCACCCAGCUGGCAGAUGUGUGUGUAGCUGAUGAGACGACUGCUAGUGGAGCCUCGCCCCCCAGCGCACACAGAUUAAAGAUGGUGGCAGCGUCUGCCCUGGUCAGGAUGCUCCGGCCAGCCCUCGCCCAGGCCUUCAGCCAGUGGAGGAGUGUGACCGUAGCCAGUAGAGACAUGAGACGCCGCGCCAAGCUCCACGGGCAGACUCACACACACACACACCUCAGACGCGCUUUCAGCAUCUGGAGGAGGGAGCGGCAGAAGAACAUGGCAGCAGCAAAACACAGGGACCGAAGUUUGCUGUUGCGUAGUGUGUGUGUGUGGAAGGAGUGUGUGUGUCAGAGCAAGAGAAGUUUGGCUCUGAAGCAGAGGGCAAACGAGUUCCACCUCAGCAACCUCCUCACACACAGUUACUCACACUGGAGACAGCAGUGCUCUCUGAGAACAGUGAGGUGUGACCCAGAGGAAGAGGCCCAGCUGAUGCGUAAGGGGGCGUGGCUCCAGAGGUCAGGGGUCAGACGGAGGCUCAGCUGGAGCUUCAGCCUGUGGGCGGCACGAGUCCGACAGAACCACGCCGUACAGGCUGUCUAUACACACACACUGUUUAGCAGAGUGUUUGUGGCGUGGGAGGUGUGUGUGCGUUCUCGCAGGCAGAGGGCACGCCUCGCUCAGGCUCACCUUGAGAGGAGUGUGUGUGAGAGAGCCUUCAGGUGGUGGAGAACCAGCACUGCUCAGCAUCAGCUGGCCAACCUCAGGACAAUACACACACUACACACACUCGCCUCUGUCUGCCUGCAGCGCUGGAACACACACACACAGCUGUGUACAGUGCUAUGUGAGGUUGAGAAGGUGAGGGAGAGGAGGAUGAAGAGAAGAGCUCUGCUGAUGUGGACUGAGGCACUGGAGAAGCAUCAGAGAGCCCAACACACACACCAGCUAACUCUCAUGAAGAGCUGUCUUCAGCGUUGGCAAUGGCACGCGCAGCACAGUGUGUGUGUGCGAGCCGUGUGUGUGUGGCUGCAGGGUACGCGAGAGGAGCGGAGCUUGCAGUGGGCUCUGCAUGUGUGGAGAGGGCGUCUGCGCCUGCGUCUGCGCAGGAGAGAGUACGCGUGGCACAGCGUGGGUGCACUGGCAGCGGUGUGGAGAGAGAGGGCGCUGGAGAGCAGAGCACAGAGACACAGAGAGGACAGGGUCACACUGCUGGCCAAACAGUGUCUCACAGCAUGGAGGACCUAUACUGACAGCGUGUGUGUUGAGCGUGUGCUAGUGUGUGAGUUUGAGGAGGAGAGGAAGAGGAUGAGGAAGAGUAGAGCGUUGGCAGCAUGGAGACUGGAGGCCCAGGUGAAACAGGCAGAGCGCCACUACCACUUCAGACUGCUGGGGGGCGCUCUACAGCACUGGAGGAGCUCUCUGAUUGGCCGGAGCAGGAGCAGGGAGAGAGCGCUGGUUGCGGUAUGUGUCUGGAGGCAGAGAACCUUCCAGAGUCGUGAGCUGAUGGAGAGAGCGCUGGAGUUUCGGCGGCGGCGUCACAUAGCAAUGCUCACACACUGCUUCCUGCGUUGGAACAUGGCAUGCGCACACACACACAUCAGCCAAGACUUUCACCGCAGGGCAGUGUGUAAGAGAGUUCUGCUGGGUUGGUACCGACACGUGGAGACGACCCAGAGGAACCAGUACAAGGAGGCCUGGUUCCAGUGUGGCCGUGAGCAGAGGCUGGUGAGGGCCUGUUUCACACACUGGCAGGGAGAGAUGCGCCAGGCUGGGCUCAGGCAGGCUGCCCUGGAGCAGAAGCUGUGCCAGCUCAGCAUGUGGCAGACGGCACGGGCCCUGCAGUACUGGAGAGCAGCCACUAGGAGGCGAGCUGCACAGAAGAGACACAGCAGGAGUCUGUUGCAACAGUGUUUUAGUGUGUGGAGGGAGAUCACAGAGGAGGUUUGUGUGGCUGACGACCUGAGAGUGGAAAACGAGAGAAGGGCAGCAAGAGAGGCUCUCAUCUCAUGGGUGAAAUGGGCCAAAGAUCGCAGGGCUCAAAGGAUGAUGGUGGAGGCUGUGUGUCUGUGGUUGGAUGGCAGAAGGGUUUCUAGAAGUUUCUACCUGUGGCUCAGAGCUCACCAGCGCCACCAAGAGGCUUCACGGCACCACAACAUACUUCUGUUACGCAGAAUGUUCCAGGCCUGGCAUUCAGUCACUGCGCACACUGAACUGCUGUGUGAAGACAUGCGGGCAGGAGUGUGUAAGACACUCAUGCGGCAGGUGUUCCACGCGUGGCAGAGGACUGCGUUAUCCCAGAGGACCGUGCGAGUGUGUGAAGCGAGGAGGAGAGGCGUCCUGAGGGGAGCACUCAGUGUCUGGAGGAAGAAGUUUCAGACUCGUCAGAGGCGUGUGCUAGUGCUGUGUGAGGGUGUGUUCUCACACUGGUUGCAGUUGGUCCACAGGAGACGAACGGAGAGAGAGGUCCAGAGACAACACAGACUAAUGAAGCGGUACUGGUGUGUGUGGCGUGAGUGUGUUCAGGACAGCAGGUACCAGAGGAGGCUGAUGCAGCUGCAUUGGGCCUGCUGGAAGAACCGCACCGCUACCUCACUCAUCGUAUCAACUAUGCAUAGUGACUCUGUGCAGCAGUGGGCUUGGCUGGUGUGGAGGAGAAGGAGAAUAAGAAGCAGAGUAGCACAGAGUUUCAGCUCCGUUCUCAACAGAACACUACUGUCUGAGGCUUUCUCUGUGUGGAGAAGACGCACACUCCAUCCAGGCUGAACCGUGUGUGUGUGUGUGUGUGUGUGUGUGUGUGUGUGUGUGAGUUUAUAAGCGCAUGUCUGUCCUUGAAGGUAUUCUUUGAAGCUGCUCUCUCUCUCUCACACACACAAACUGUACCAACUGGUCCGAAUCUCACAAUUGAAGUUUUGGAGGUGCACCCUACACUCUCUCUCUCUCUCUCUCUCUCUCUCUCUCUCUCUCACACACACACACACACACACACACACACACACACACACACACACACACACACACACACACACACACACACACACACACACUAUGUGAGAUUUGUAGACACCAAUCAGACUUGACCUUAUCCAGGAGCGUGCCGUGUGCAAAGGACCACUGAGUGCCGUGUCUCAUUCUCUCGUUUUCUUUAUGUGUUUGUGAACUUUGUCUAUUUAUUUUAAAAUAAAACACAUAGGUUGAUGACA
ensembl:lncRNA